UUGAAACAUUGUAAAGGAGAGUUGAGCUGGUUCUGCAAGUGCUCACUUUUCUUUCAAUCUUCAUCCACCUGUGCACUUAUUGUAGAGAGUCCGAGAAAAGGUUUGCGCCUAAGUAUUGGGCUUUCUAUGUCUUUAUAAACUCUGAAUGUUAUUGAAUGUCUUUUAUAAGGGACUUAAUUUGACCCUUUUAAAACUAUA
rnacentral:misc_RNA from 1 species